UUGCGGCAUCACUCGAGGGAUUUGCAUGUCAGAUGCUGCGGAUGCGGUGGCAUACCGUGGGGACGUCCGCCCUUGCUCGCCGAUCUCACCAUACUUGCUGCACCUGCUGCGAUGAAAGCAAAAAGCGGCCAAUCUGUUCCUCGUCUGCAAAAUUCCCAAACCACGGCAGAAUACGGGAAAAACUUCAAAAGAUGACAACAAACGUGAUGCCAGUUCAAUUGUCUUUAUUCAAACUGAAAGUGACAAAUAAUUGUGACAGCUUUUGUCGUUGUAUUUCGACACGAACAAAGUUUAAUGGAUGCAUUGUAAAAAUUCACAACCGACUUUUUAGCCCAAAAACACACAGCACGAUGUAUUCUUAGCCUGUAGAUGCAUGUCAACAACAUGGAUUGAGCAACAAGAAACAAAUUAAACACACAUGCUGGUCCAAAAUGAGACACACACACACACAAGGUUAAAUUAACUUUUUCAGGA